GCCUGGGUAGCUCAGUCAGUUGAGCGUCUGACUUUGGCUCAGGCCAUGAUCUCACAGCUCGUGGGUUGGAGCCCCACAUCAGGCU
rnacentral:tRNA from 1 species